rnacentral:misc_RNA from 1 species
GUGAGUCAUCGAAUCUUUGAACGCACAUUGCGCCCCUUGGUAUUCCGAGGGGCAUGCCUGUUCGAGCGUCAUUACAACCCUCAAGCACUGCUUGGUAUUGGGCCCCGCUGCUUAACGCCGCGGGCCUUAAAAUCAGUGGCGGCGCCGCUGGGCUCUGAGCGUAGUAAAUUUCCUCGCUACGGAGACCUGGCGGUGGUAGCCAUCAACCCCCAACUUUCUAAGUUUGACCUCGGAUCAGGUAGGGAUACCCGCUGAACUUAAGCAUAUCAAUAAGCGGAGGA